UAGGGAAUCUUCCGCAAUGGGCGAAAGCUUGACGGAGCAACGCCGCGUGAGUGAUGAAGGUCUUCGGAUCGUAAAACUCUGUUAUUAGGGAAGAACAAAUGUGUAAGUAACUCUGCACGUCUUGACGGUACCUAAUCAGAAAGCCACGUCUAACUACGUGCCAGCAGCCGCGGUAAUACGUAGGUGGCAAGCGUUAUCCGGAAUUAUUGGGCGUAAAGCGCGCGUAGGCGGUUUUUUAAGUCUGAUGUGAAAGCCCACGGCUCAACCGUGGAGGGUCAUUGGAAACUGGAAAACUUGAGUGCAGAAGAGGAAAGUGGAAUUCCAUGUGUAGCAGUGAAAUGCGCAGAGAUAUGGAGGAACACCAGUGGCGAAGGCGACUUUCUGGUCUGUAACUGACGCUGAUGUGCGAAAGCGUGGGGAUCAAACAGG
rnacentral:rRNA from 1 species